GGCAGAAAGAGAUGAUUAAGUGGAAAAAUUACCAUUCCAGUAGAUUGUUAGAAUGAAAAUUUUCGUUAAAAUAAAAGAGAAAGGAGCAUUGGUUUGCAAAAGAAAAAAUAAAAGAGAAAGGAGCUAGUUGGAGAGAGAACAAAGCAAAUUGAUUCAAUAAAUGGAACCUCGACAUCAUGCUGCUUGUUGCUCUCAAUGGCAUUCAUGCAAUAAACUCAUGUGACCAUGGAUUUGAUGCAAGAAAUAGAAGAGCCAAGAUUCCAUUUCAGGAACAUGUUUGCUGCUAAUCUCACUGAUAGAUGCAUGUGUCUUCUUCUGCUGUUGAGAAGCAUCAUCAACAAUAUCUAUAUUGUGGCAUCAUAUAAAGAAUAUGGUAAGAAAAAUGAGAAGAUGGAUCCAUGACAGCUAGAGAUGAAUAAAGAAGGGCUAUUGGAUUAGAAGUCUUCUUCCCAAAUGACUCCUCAACGGAGUCGAAAAUCCUCCAUGGGGAGGAGUGGAACUCCUCCCCUUCAGCCCUAUUUAAAGGGGAGGGGUCUUCCCUCUUCCUCCCAUCAAGAACCGAAGGCCCAAUUCGGCGGGGAUCACCGGAAAUUUCUUCACGGAAGCCCUUUACCAUGCCCGCCUGAAAUCGAUUGCCAGAGCUCAAGCUGCUUCCUUUCAGAGCGACAAAGAACAGCCUCACCGUGUACAGAACUCUCCAUUGCCAUCAGAGCCAAAGGAAAAUCUUCACCAAGCUUCUGUUCUGAAGCUGGAGG